CACCAUCAACACUCUACAAGGAAGAUUCGGCCAAUGAUGAACUCAUGAGGAAUAUGUGAAUUUCAAGCUUAAUUCUUACACUUAACACCAUAAACAACUAAAAACAUCCAUAUAUCUUAAAAAUCUAUCUAAAUCAUCAUCAAAUUCUCUCUCCUAGGGUUUGAUCAGCACACUAUCCUUCAUGAUAUCUUGUGAUUCAACCAUGGAAAAUGCAAAAUAAUGCAUAGGAAAGAUAGAUCACAAGCUAGAGUUAAGAAAUUUCAUCUUUGAUGGCUUGAUUACUUGAAAUCCACCAAUUUUCUCUUGAAUUUUCACUCUAGGGUUUUUGUUCUUCUUUCCUUCCUUUGUUCUUG
rnacentral:lncRNA from 1 species